CAUUUUUUGGAAGUAAACAAAUAUUGAAGAAAGUGUUGUGCCUUCACAGAAUUUAAAUUGGCAUUAGGAAUAGAUUUCCUUGAUUUAGUAAUGAUAUUGCUCAUAGAAAUUGAUAAUGUGAAGAAUAACAAUACAGGAACAUAGAAUAACAAGAAAGAAAUUCUAGCAGCAAGUUAGGUUAUGAGAUAAAUUUUAUUUAUAUAGUUUGUUUAAAGAGUUUAGUUUGAAAAAAGGUAAAACAAUUAUUAUUGUCCAGGUCAUAUUUGAUAACUGUUGUUAAUUGAUAACAUAUUACAGGGACACAGUAAAAAGACAAAACAUUUAGACCCUUUGAAAGAGAAAUGUUUGCAAUGGAUAUUAAUAAAUUCUAGCCAAUUUGUACGAUGUACAAUGCAGGCAAUAUUUCUGCCUCCCCCGCUAUUCGCGUAAAAGAAGAUAUUUAUUAUUAGUUGGCUAGUGUGUUAGUAGGAUAGCCAUUGGUAGUUAUAAAGUAUGAAGUCGUCAGGUAUUAAUAAUAGGAAUUGAUCAAAGCUUAUACAUUUAUUGUGAUAUUUAUAUUGUGAAUUUAAGUAGUUAGUUUUGGUUGUUUAAUAAACGAAUUAAUGUGC
rnacentral:lncRNA from 1 species